UACCGUCGCCCGCGCUUCGGAAAGUUGGACAUUAGGCUUCGCAGCGUAAUGCAGGGAACAAGAAAACGGAAUUCACCAUGUUAAAGCAUAGCGAUUUCCCUUGUCUUCUGCCUCGCUCCUCUGCUCCUCUGCAUGUCGAAUGCUCCUGGCCGCAGAGGACGUUGCUGUUCGUGCAGCCAACGCCAGUGAAGAAGAAAAAGAAGAGCCAAGCUCGGCUCGUCCUCUUCGUCCUCGUCCUCGUCCUCGUCCAAAUGUCUUGGAGGAACACUUAGAUCGGAAGCAACGUGCUAAUGCAAUAUCCAUAUUCCCAUCUCCUGGGCCGUUCAGAAGACUAUUGCAUCUGCAGAAAUAGAAGAAUAAUGCGCAAGGCCCGGGAGGUGGGGCCGGUGCUUCAGUCACACCCACUCACUCGAGGAGCUGCACCUUUAGGUUGGCCCGGCUGCCUAGUGCUCCUCUCCUAAAGCUGUGGCGGAGAGGGGCAGGUAUUUUUCUGUGUGAGACCUGGUCAAGGCGGUCGCAGUGGUUCAAAUACUUAACAGACCGCUGCUGGCAAGUGUGAAGUGCCCCUCCCAUAAGCUGUGUUGGAGAGGGGCAGGGAAUUUUCUUGCCACCUAGGCUGGUUGGUGGGGGCAUUCAUUCGAAGCCACCCAGAUAAUGAGCUGUUUGCUGCUAGGAAGUUAGUGAUAUGUCCUUACCUGGUCUGGCAGCUACGAGUACAUCCACCACCCAAGUUUCCAAUGCAGAUUGCUGGAGCCCACCUCGCCUCUCGCCUCUCAAUGAAGAGCACCGGGACGGCAUCUAAUCGGCGCCACCCAGCGGUCCUUGGAUGAUAGAAACCAACGAUGCCAGCGGUCGGUGUUCUGAGGCGCACGCGUAACGGGUCCCGGCGCCUCUCUGUUGGGUGAGCACUGACCGCCGGCCCGGGGGGGCUCUACAGGGUCAGCUCUGUGCCACCGACGAAGCGUCGCGCUCCAGCGGCCGGUGUCUCCAGUGGGUCUUCGCUGCAACGCACACGCCCUGCUUCUCUCUUGCCAGCAAGAUUGGUCUGUUAAGUAUUUGAACUACUUCGACGUCGGCGGCGUCGUUCCUGACGGUCCCCGUCAGCAGCGUGUCCCUGGCGCGCAGCGUCAGCUCCCAGGCGUCGCCCGUCAGCAGGGCGAGGGGCUGAAGAGCCGGCGCAGCUGCGGCAUUGCGUGCGCCGCCCGCAGGUGCUCCUCGAGCGGGAACGACAUGCCGAGCUCCUCGACGGUCGGCCCCGCUCGCUCCAGCAGCAUCAGCGUCCAGGCGGGAUCUCGGCAGCACACCACCAGAGGUACACUCACCCCUUUCGCGGCUUGCAGGGCAUCCCGCUUCUCCAGCAGCUUGUCGUCGGGCGCACUGGCGCUGGCCUCGUGGGCGUCGAGCUCCUCCGGGUUAGCCCGGGCUGCUCCGGUGACGGUCGGUGUUCUGAGGCGCACGGCGUAACGGGUCCCGGCGCCUCUCUGUUGGGUGAGCACUGACCGCCGCUGUCUCCAGUGGGUCCUCGCUGCAACGCACACGCCCUGCUUCUCUCUUGCCAGCAAGGUUGGUCUGUUCAGUACUUGAACUACUUCGACAUCGGCGGGGGCGGCCGUGCUCACCAUGAGGUGCAGCUCCUCCAGCGAGUGCGCGUGCGCCUGGAGCAGCGACUGCAACGUGGGCCGCGGGAGCACCCACACCAUUAGCCAGCGGAGGCCCUGGCCGCGAGCUGGGGCCUGGCGGCGGGGGCUGCGGGACCCACGUGGAGUUGCAGAUCCUCGAGCGAGUGGGCGCGCCUGGAGUGGCGAAGCCGAAGGCUGCAGUGGAUCCUUGUUGCUCCACACACGCCAAGCUUGUUGUGUCUGUUAAUUUGGCAGCAACCUGUUUCAUAAACUUUUUGGACUGGAAGCUGAGCUUUGUUGGACAGUAUGGUACAGUACAAUGUUUAGUAUAUUCUGAAAUCAACCAUUAAUUCUGGGUCUCAUAUUGGGCGGUAAUAUUGCUUUGGUUGCUUUGUCUAUCACUUGAUCUAUGAGCAACAGAAUAUUUUGAAAUAGAAUAUUGAAUUCAUGUCAUCAUUAUUUGAUUUCAUUUUCCACAAUGGGAAACGCUGUUCUGCUGCUUUGAGCUGUCAGUUUGAACCCUGUCAAAAUCGUACUUUAGGUUA